GAAAUGCGAUAAUUAAUGUGAAUUGCAGAAUUCAGUGAAUCAUCGAGUCUUUGAACGCACAUUGCGCCCCCUGGUAUUCCGGGGUCAUGCCUGUCCGAGCGUCAUUGCUGCCCUCAAGCACGGCUUGUGUGUUGGGCUUCCGUCCCUGGCAACGGGGACGGGCCCAAAAGGCAGUGGCGGCACCAUGUCUGGUCCUCGAGCGUAUGGGGCUUUGUCACCCGCUCCCGUAGGUCCAGCUGGCAGCUAGCCUCGCAACCAAUCUUUUUAACCAGGUUGACCUCGGAUCAGGUAGGGAUACCCGCUGAACUUAAGC
rnacentral:misc_RNA from 1 species